AAGUCGUAACAAGGUUUCCGUAGGUGAACCUGCGGAAGGAUCAUUAACACGUAUCCAACGUUAAAACAACCCCCGUGAACUUUCAGCUUGCUCCUGUAGCCCGUGAAAACAGCAAUCCCUGGUAAAUCAUUGUUGACCAGCUUUUGAGUCAGGGACCUCUGCCGAUUGUGAUAUUUUAUAGCUACGGUUGAGCGAUUGCAUCUAGUGACCUGGCAUCCCCAAGUAAUCAGUGUCUGAAUGUGUCAUUGAUGAUGUAAGGAUGGCGCAGUCACGAUCGCUGUAGGCCGCGUGAAAUUCGCACGGCACCAAAACCCGAACACCUGUUAACAAUGGAUAUCUUGGUUCUC
rnacentral:misc_RNA from 1 species